rnacentral:rRNA from 1 species
CUCCAGACUCCUACGGGAGGCAGCAGUGGGGAAUAUUGCACAAUGGGGGAAACCCUGAUGCAGCGACGCCGCGUGAGUGAAGAAGUAUUUCGGUAUGUAAAGCUCUAUCAGCAGGGAAGAAAAUGACGGUACCUGACUAAGAAGCCCCGGCUAACUACGUGCCAGCAGCCGCGGUAAUACGUAGGGGGCAAGCGUUAUCCGGAUUUACUGGGUGUAAAGGGAGCGUAGACGGCAUGGCAAGUCAGAUGUGAAAGCCCGGGGCUCAACCCCGGGACUGCAUUUGAAACUGUCAGGCUGGAGUGCAGGAGAGGUAAGUGGAAUUCCUAGUGUAGCGGUGAAAUGCGUAGAUAUUAGGAGGAACACCAGUGGCGAAGGCGGCCUGCUGGACCGUAACUGACGUUGGGGCUCGAAAGCGUGGGGAGCAAACAGGAUUAGAUACCCCCGUAGA